UUAGUGUUCGUACAUUGGUCCGUCGACUUCAUAGAGGCAACCGAAGAGGAAGUCGUGGUGUAUAGAGACCUGUACUUACAGGCAGGCACUCUACCGUCAGGUUUCAAUGGAUAUGAUACUAUCUAUGCUUGAACAUAAGAAGCUGACAAAACACUCAUUGGUCAGAUGGGAGUCAGUUUCUUUUACUGCCAGUAGACGCCAUAAUACGAAUUUCGCUUGGA
rnacentral:lncRNA from 1 species